rfam:Ictidomys tridecemlineatus contig019807, whole genome shotgun sequence.
GGUGAUAUAGCUCAGUUGGUAGAGUGCUUGCCUUGCAUGCACAAGGCCCUGGGUUCAAUCCCCAGCACCA